AUUGAACGCUGGCGGAAUGCUUUACACAUGCAAGUCGAACGGCAGCACGGGUGCUUGCACCUGGUGGCGAGUGGCGAACGGGUGAGUAAUAUAUCGGAACGUAUCCAAUAAUGGGGGAUAACUAGCCGAAAGGUUAGCUAAUACCGCAUACGCCCUGAGGGGGAAAGCUGGGGAUCGUAAGACCUAGCGUUGUUGGAGCGGCCGAUAUCUGAUUAGCUAGUUGGUGGGGUAAGAGCCUACAAAGGCGACGAUCAGUAGCUGGUCUGAGAGGACGACCAGCCACACUGGAACUGAGACACGGUCCAGACUCCUACGGGAGGCAGCAGUGGGGAAUUUUGGACAAUGGGGGCAACCCUGAUCCAGCCAUUCCGCGUGAGUGAAGAAGGCCUUCGGGUUGUAAAGCUCUUUCGCAAGGGAAGAAAACUCGAUCUCUAAUAUAGGUUGAGGCUGACGGUACCUUGAUAAGAAGCACCGGCUAACUACGUGCCAGCCGCCGCCGUAA
rnacentral:rRNA from 1 species